GACGAACGCUGGCGGCGUGCUUAACACAUGCAAGUCGAACGGUGACCUGAGGUGCUUGCACCUUGGUGAUCAGUGGCGAACGGGUGAGUAACACGUGAGUAACCUGCCCCUGACUCUGGAAUAACCCCGGGAAACCGGGGUUAAUACCGGAUAUGAAACAGAUCCGCAUGGGUACUGUUUGGAAAGUUUUUCGGUUGGGGAUGGACUCGCGGCCUAUCAGCUUGUUGGUGAGGUAAUGGCUCACCAAGGCGACGACGGGUAGGCGGCGUGAGAGGGCGACCGGCCACACUGGGACUGAGACACGGCCCAGACUCCUACGGGAGGCAGCAGUGGGGAAUAUUGCACAAUGGGCGAAAGCCUGAUGCAGCGACGCCGCGUGAGGGAUGACGGCCUUCGGGUUGUAAACCUCUUUCAGCAGGGAAGAAGCGCAAGUGACGGUACCUGCAGAAGAAGCACCGGCUAACUACGUGCCAGCCGCCGCCGUAAGAC
rnacentral:rRNA from 1 species